rnacentral:rRNA from 1 species
AUUGAACGCUGGCGGCAGGCUUAACACAUGCAAGUCGAGCGGGGUGAUGGUGCUUGCACUAUCACUUAGCGGCGGACGGGUGAGUAAUGCUUAGGAAUCUGCCUAUUAGUGGGGGACAACAUCUCGAAAGGGAUGCUAAUACCGCAUGUGGUAUCUUGGCUGCAUGGCUGCGAUAAGAAAGAUGGCCUCUGAGUAUGCUAUCGUUUAGAGAUGGGUCUGCGUCUGAUUAGCUGGUUGGUGAGGUAAAGGCUCACCAAGGCGACGAUCAGUAGCCGGUCUGAGAGGAUGAACGGCCGCACUGGGACUGAGGCACGGCCCAGACGCCUACGGGAGGCAGCAGUGGGGAAUCUUCCGCAAUGGACGAAAGUCUGACGGAGCAACGCCGCGUGAGUGAAGAAGGCCUUCGGGUCGUAAAGCUCUGUCGUUUGGGACGAACGUGCUUUGUGUAAAUAAUGCAAAGUAAUGACGGUACCAAAGGAGGAAGCCACGGCUAACUACGUGCCAGCCGCCGCGGUAA